rnacentral:rRNA from 1 species
UCAAUUUGAUCAUGGCUCAGGACGAACGCUGGCGUCGCGCCUAACACAUGCAAGUCGAACGAGAGAGAAGGAGCUUGCUUCUUCGAUCGAGUGGCGAACGGGUGAGUAACGCGUGAGGAACCUGCCUCAAAGAGGGGGACAACAGUUGGAAACGACUGCUAAUACCGCAUAAGCCCCACGGGUCGGCAUCGACCUGAGGGAAAAGGAGCAAUCCGCUUUGAGAUGGCCUCGCGUCCGAUUAGCUAGUUGG